UACGUAGGGUGCAAGCGUUAAUCGGAAUUACUGGGCGUAAAGCGUGCGCAGGCGGUUGUGUAAGACAGAUGUGAAAUCCCCGGGCUCAACCUGGGAACUGCAUUUGUGACUGCACAGCUGGAGUGCGGCAGAGGGGGAUGGAAUUCCGCGUGUAGCAGUGAAAUGCGUAGAUAUGCGGAGGAACACCGAUGGCGAAGGCAAUCCCCUGGGCCUGCAC
rnacentral:rRNA from 1 species